rnacentral:rRNA from 1 species
UACGGAGGGGACUAGCGUUGUUCGGAAUUACUGGGCGUAAAGCGUAUGCAGGCGGACUUUUAAGUCGGGGGUGAAAUCCCCGGGCUCAACCCGGGAACUGCGUCCGAUACUGGCAGGCUUGAAUCCCGGAGAGGGAUGUGGAAUUCCAGGUGUAGCGGUGAAAUGCGUAGAUAUCUGGAGGAACACCGGUGGCGAAGGCGGCAUCCUGGACCGGUAUUGACGCUGAGGCGCGAAAGCCAGGGGAGCAAACGGG